rnacentral:ncRNA from 1 species
CCUAUGGAGAGUACAAGAACUUGUGAGUAGUAUAUGAAGAAUUUCAAUAUGAAAGCAUACUCGACGAAGUAGGAA